GAUGAACGCUGGCGGCGUGCCUAAUACAUGCAAGUCGAGCGAACAGAUGAGGAGCUUGCUCCUCUGACGUUAGCGGCGGACGGGUGAGUAACACGUGGAUAACCUACCUAUAAGACUGGGAUAACUUCGGGAAACCGGAGCUAAUACCGGAUAAUAUAUUGAACCGCAUGGUUCAAUAGUGAAAGACGGUUUUGCUGUCACUUAUAGAUGGUUCCGCGCCGCAUUAGCUAGUUGGUAAGGUAACGGCUUACCAAGGCAACGAUGCGUAGCCGACCUGAGAGGGUGAUCGGCCACACUGGAACUGAGACACGGUCCAGACUCCUACGGGAGGCAGCAGUAGGGAAUCUUCCGCAAUGGGCGAAAGCCUGACGGAGCAACGCCGCGUGAGUGAUGAAGGUCUUCGGAUCGUAAAGCUCUGUUAUUAGGGAAGAACAAAUGUGUAAGUAACUAUGCACGUCUUGACGGUACCUAAUCAGAAAGCCACGGCUAACUACGUG
rnacentral:rRNA from 1 species